AGCCAUACUGCUACUGCUCUCCCCCUGCACUUUUGCCUCGGACCGUAGGAACGGCGUGCAAUGGGACUGCUGCUGGAUCCCAGUGAAUAGUUCAUCAGUGCUGUAAUGAAUUCCUGCUCUCCGUGAAAAGUCUGGGACAUAGAAUGCUACGUCCAACAAAAAAUGCUGACUACUCAGGCCUGAUGUUUUAACUCAAGCACAGAUGUGGGCUGACAGUUAUUGUCUACAGGAGAAGUAUUAUCUUCAAUGGCUCUUGGUUAUCCUUUGGUGUCAUUUGAAUUGGAAGGAACAUUCAAAGGUCAUCUGGUCCAACUCCUCUGCAAUGAAUGGGGCCACCUACAGCUAGAUCAGGUUGCUCAGAGCGCUGUCCAGCCUGACCUUGAAUGCCUCCAAGGAUAGGACAUUUACCACCUCUCUGGGAAACCUGUGCCAGCACUUCCCUACCCUUAUCAUUAAAAAACAGAACAAAACAAAAAACACAAAAACUUUUUCUUAUAUCUAGUCUAAAUAUCCACUAUUUUAGUUUGAAACCAUUUCCCCUUCUACUGUCACAACUGACCCUGCUAAAGAGUGUAUCUCCUUCUUUCUUAUAGCUCCCCUUUAGACACUGAAAGGCUGCUAUCAGAUUUCACUAGACCCUUCUCUUUUCCAGACUGAACAUCCCAACUCUCUCAGCCUGUCCUUGCAGGAGAGGUAUUCCAUCCUCCCAAUAGUUCCUUAAACUAUUUUUGUGGUCUCCCUCUGGAAGUGCUCCAACAGGUCCACAUCUCUCCUAUAUUGCGAACUCCACAUCUGAACGCAGUACUCCAGGUGAUGUCUCAGCGCACAGUAGAGGUGCAGGAUUACCUCCACAGACCUUCUGACCUUGCUUCUUUGGAUGCAACCCAGGAUAUGGUUGGCCUUUCAGGCUUCAAGGGCACAUUGCUGGCUCCUGUCCAGCUUACCAUCCACCAGUACUCAUGAGUCCUUUUCAUCAGGGGUGUGCUCCCCAGCUUGUAUUGAUAGUGUGAGUUGCUACAACCCAAAUGCAAGACCUUGCACUUGUUUUUGUUGAACCUCAUGAAAUUCCCCUGCACCCACUGCUUGAGCCUGUGUAGGCUUCUCUGGAUGGCAUCCCAUCCCUUGGAUAUCCCAUCCCUCAGGCAUGUUGACUGCACCACACAGUUUAUUAUCUGAAAACUUGCUGAGAGUCCACUGUUGUGUUAAAGAGCAUCAGUCUCGGUGCUGAACCCUGAGGGACCUCACUCAUCACUGAUCCCCAUUUGGGCUUUGAUGAAUUGAUCACCACUCUCUGGUUAUGAUCUUGCAACUAAUUCCUUGUUUAUCAUAGAGUCUACCCACCAAAUCUAUAUCUUUCCAAUUUGAACAUCUUCCGUUGUCCAUUGGUUCAUCACAAAAGGCCAUUAAGUUGGUCAGGCAGGACCUGCCCUUGGUGAAGUAACACUGGUUGUCUCUUCCAUGUGCUUUCGUAUAGCUUCCAGGAGGAUCUGCUCUGUGAUCUUCCCCAUCACAGAUGUGAGGCUGACAGUUUCAUGGUUCCCUGCCUCAUCCUUUCUACCCUUCUUAAAAAUGAAUGUGAUAUUGCCCAACUUCAAGGUUUAAUCUCCAAAACCCUUUCUUAUUACCCCCCAAAAUUACUGUUUCUGCUGACUUAUGUAUUCACUCAGUACCACAUUUCAGUGUAGUAAGAAUUUUAUCUUCCUCUUUUUUAUAUUUACAUGCCAUUUUUAAUGAUUUCAGCAGUCAGUUAGAGAACCCAAACUUAAAUUAUACUGAUUAUACUCCCUACUAAAAGUGAUAUGAAACAAUGUAUGAAGUGCAACUGAUUCUAAGUUCUAUUUAAAUAUAUAUUUAACAUGAUCUAUUUCAUAGCAUGUUUUCUUUUUUUAUCUAUCUAUCCAGUUAUCUUAUCUAUCCAGUUACCAUGCUUAGUACUAUGUUAACUAUUAUAUUGAAACUGUCUUUUAACUCUUAUGUUUUAUCCUGUUCAAUUCAUUUUUGCAGGGAUUAACAGAUUCAACUUAGAAGUUUUAAUUUUUCUGUAAGACAUAAGAAAAAUUCUUUAUACAAAACUUGCUGGUUUUUUUUUUCCUUCCUUUUGAAGAGGGCAUGGGGUUUUCUACUGUAAUUAUUUAGAAAGAGAUCUGUUUAACCACUACCAGGUAGCCUGAUGUUAACACCUGUAGCGCAGAAAGAGAUGAAGCUUAGUUUCUUUUCUAGCUAGUUAUAGAAUUGCUUUGGUUCUUUUAAAAAUUAAUUUUGAAAUUGGUUCUAAAGUAGAAAUCUACCAUGUAUUUAAAAUACACAUUCUGGUGAAGUGAAAAUAUAAAUAUAUAAUUUUUUUAUUUUAGUGUUUUUUCUUGAUGCAAAUAUGUCUUAGGAUUGAAAAACUUCUGUUUGAUUUGGUUAACAUUUUCAAGAAAGCUUCAAAAGUUAUCGUCUUACUUUAAUGUUUUAUGGAUAGAUUAAUAUACAAAAUCCUUUCUUAUAAUAAUUCUUAUAUUCCUCAUGAGGAAAAGGGAAAAAAGUUAUAAGAUUUUUCAUAAGGCUUUAGGUUUCCACCUAAAGAAAUAAUGACAAUACUGAAUCGUUUCCAGAAAGAAAACUCCAUUUGAAAAAUUAAAAUAAAUAGAUUAAAAAAAAAAAAGUCCCAGUGAUCAUCUGAAUGAAUGCUCUAUGGUUUUAGACCUGGUUAUAUAAAAGAGAGGUUGUUAUGAACGUAGUAUUCUAAAGAAAGUACUGACUUAGUCAUAUAAUACUUCAAAUCUUGGACCAAAAAAUACAUAAAGACUGAAAGAUUCCUUGUACUGCCUGAGAUGAAGGAAUGUAAAAUGUUAUAAAGAUUCAAAUAACUUACAAUUUCUCCAUGAAAAGAUCUCUUAGGAUGCUUGCAAUAACACAUCCUCUGGAAAAAACCUACUGUUCUAGUAAUUUACUCCAUGUACUUAUUUGUGGGUAAGAGGCCAGAAAAGUAGUCUCAUUACUUAAUGAGAUAAAGGAAGAUUCCUUUUCUAAUAUUAAAGCAGUGCAUCUUAUUCAGGCUGAACUGGCAUGUCAUGUCAAGAAACUGAUAGACUUGGUGAGAAGAUUUGGCUGACCCAUUAUUAUAGAGAUGAAUUAAGUGUAUAUACCUAAGUACUGUACUACAUGCAGUCUCCAAUUGCCUUGAUUUUUAUAUUGUUGACAUAAGGUCAAAGGCAUAAACCCAUGCUUUACAGCAGAUUCCUUGCACGUGUUUACAAAUCUUGAGCAGCAAUCCCAGCUGUGCAUCUGCAAGCAAGUUGCCUUACAUUUUAAAUGCUAAUAUCAAAGAGAAAAUAGCUGCCUCAGAAAAUAAGCAUUUCGUAUUGUGAUUUAAGUCAUAGAAUAACUCAUGUAUUAAUAAAUUUAGAUAAACAGAAAGGAUGGAAAAAAUAUACACUUAAUUUUCUAUCAUAAAAAUGCUCAAAUGAUGUAUUUGUAGUAGGAUGCUAGCCAUAACUUGACAUUUAAAAAUUGUUGUCUGAAGAAGAGAAAAUCUACUCUACAACUUUGAUUUCAAGUUGUCUGCAAUAGUGGCAGUAGUGUGGAGUGAUACUACUUUCAUAUUCAACUUCAGCAAAGAUCAAAACUUAAUGCAUAACAAAGAGUUUAUACUUUAGUGAGAAUUUUAUGAAGCUAAGUGUCAGCCUCAGCCUUUAUGCAUCAGUAGGACAUUGAUUGAUGAAUGUUGCAGGUCUCUGAAAAUAAAUUUGCUGUAACUUUAUUGCUGUUUAUAUGUAUGUCAUGAACAAUUGUGUAGAACUGCAGCAAAAAACACAAGGUUUUUAUUUCCCCAUCUUGUUUUCCAUAAUUUCAGAGGCUUUAAAAGGGUGAAAUAAACCCCUGACAGUUUUGCUACCUCAGCUAGCUUUUAUGUUAACUUUCAGUCUUAUAAAUUGUGGCAACUGUAUAGCUAGGUACCACCACUGCAGAAUGAGGGAAAAUUAAAACAAUAUUCAGUGAUGAACUCUCCUAAAUGAUAUUCAAGCAUGCAAAAAGUCUCAGGUCAGCAUAUCAAUAGCUUGUUUUUGGACUAUUUACUCUCCCUGUCAGAAGGAAUUUAUGAAAUGGGGCAUACCAUUUCACCACACAAAAUAAACCAUCUUUUUAUGUGCAAAAAAAUUUGCAAAGGUGAAAUAUUUGAAAUUAGCCUGUGCUCUAUAAUUCUACUGUUUCCUUAAUUUUUGAUACUUUUGUCUCUGGGGAAUGUUCUUCUCCAUUGCUAAAUAUAUCAUUAGGAAAUCCUUGCAAACAAAAUAUUUUACAAACUACAAAACAUAUUUCCAUGUCUUACUAUUUGAACACGUACUUCAUAUGUGGAUUUUUUUUAAUAAUGUUAAUAAUGUAUUCUUCAGGGAGAAAUACUUAUUCUCUAAUAGUCUGAUUUUUUUUUUUUUUUGUCAUGUUUGUAUUAUUAAGUCUACUAAACUUAAUAAUAUAUUAAGUCUUUAUUAAUUAUUACAAGUCUAGUAGAUUUAAGCAAGUACUGGGUAGCCCAGAUGUUUCCGGGAAGUCUUUAUGUUGUAGGACUUAUGAAAUAGAUUUAACUGGCUUAUUACCUGAUGUGACAUACUUGUGAUUUGGAGCUCUGCAGGGGCAUCUUGUUGGUAGACUUCUGGAUAAGAGCUCACAAAAUUUAUUUAUAGAUCAGACAUGGAAUAAUCUCCACAAUAUCUUUUGCAUCUGUACAUCCCUAGAUCACUUUGGUGGGAGAAAACCAAACCUCCACAAAUACUACUGAAUGUUCUUUCUUCUCAUCUUUCUAAUUUCUGUUAAUAAUUAUCAUUUCUAUACAGCAUUUCUAUAGUGUUUUUCAAAGUCCUACUGUAGUAAACAAUUUUGCUGAAUUUACAAUCUGUUAAAUAAAGAUACACUUUUCUAGA
ensembl:lncRNA